rnacentral:SRP_RNA from 1 species
GCUGCGUGUGGUGGCACAUACCUGUAGUUCCAGCUACUCGGGAGGCUGAGGCAGGAGGAUUGCUUGAGCCCAGGAGUCCUGGGCUAUAGUGCACUAAGUCAGUCUGAUGUCCGCAUAAAGUUUGGCAUCAGUAUGGUGACCUUGAUUUCCCCGGAGCAAGGGACCACGAGGUUGUCUAAGGAGGAGUGAACUAGCCCAGGUUGAAAACAGAGUAGGUCAGUACUCUGGUGCUGCUUAGUAGCAGGAUCACACCUGGGAAUAGCCACUGCAGUCUAGCCUGGGCAACAUAGCUAGACCCUGUCUUA